UACGUAGGGUGCAAGCGUUAAUCGGAAUUACUGGGCGUAAAGCGUGCGUAGGCGGUUGUGUAAGUCUGUCGUGAAAUCCCCGGGCUCAACCUGGGAAUUGGCGAUGGAUACUGGCUCGCUAGAGUGUGAUAGAGGAUGGUGGAAUUCCCGGUGUAGCGGUGAAAUGCGUAGAGAUCGGGAGGAACAUCAGUGGCGAAGGCGGCCAUCUGGAUCAACACUGACGCUGAGGCACGAAAAGCGUGGGGGAGCAAACAGG
rnacentral:rRNA from 1 species